rnacentral:rRNA from 1 species
GACGAACGCUGGCGGCGUGCUUAACACAUGCACGUCGAACGAAGCGGCGAACGGGUGAGUACUACGUGGGUAACCUGCCCUCCUUUUUGGGAUCAGCCUUGGAACCGGGGUCUAAUACCGAAUCAAGGGGGAUGGGCUCGCGGCCUAUCAGCUUGUUGGUGGGGCGAGGGCCUACCAAGGGGGUGACGGGUAGCCGGCCUGAGGCGGGGACCUGCCCCAUUGGGGCUGGGGUACGGUGCAGACUCCGCAGGGAGGUAGCAGUUGGGGAGAUUGCCCAAUGGGCGAUAGCGAGAUGCACGGUCACCGGGUGGGGGAUGCAGGGUUUGGGGAUAUAGAGCUUUUUGGCUAUCGUACGGGUUGGUGUAGUAGAGGCGAGGGCUAACUACGUGCCAGCAGCCGCGGUAAUAC